rnacentral:rRNA from 1 species
CAGUAGCCACGGGAAAACGGAGGGUGCAAGCGUUAAUCGGAGUUACUGGGCGUAAAGCGUGCGUAGGCGGUUAUAUAAGACAGAUGUGAAAUCCCCGGGCUCAACCUGGGACCUGCAUUUGUGACUGUAUGGCUAGAGUGUGUCAGAGGGGGGUAGAAUUCCACGUGUAGCAGUGAAAUGCGUAGAUAUGUGGAGGAAUACCGAUGGCGAAGGCAGCCCCCUGGGAUAACACUGACGCUCAUGCACGAAAGCGUGGGGAGCGAACAGGAUUAGAUACCCCCGUAGUCCCUGUCUCUUAUAC